CUUGCCCCUUCCUCUCUCUUUAUCUCUUUCCCAUCCCUUUGCUCUUUCCUAUCCACAGGUAAGAGCCAGAGCUUGAGGGACUGAGGCUAGAAAAGCUGGAGAAAAGAAGUCUGAAGACAGGCGACGGUAAUAAAAAUUAACAACCCUGACACCGCCACAUUUCCUCUGGGGAGAAUCAAUAUCAGAAGAAGAAAGGAAAAUGAAAAGGGCAC
rnacentral:lncRNA from 1 species